UCUGCCUGGUUGCCUUAUAGCCAACGGCCGGUCAAUCUCUGAUCCGAAUCCUAAUCCCUUUUAGAAUCACCAGAUCUAACUUGCCUUAAUUUAUAAACAACCUUCAUCGUCGCCAUCAGAUUUCCACCAUUAAAGAAACUCGCCGCCUGGUUCUUGGUUAAGGUAAUUUCCCAACCUUUGUAUGCUCUUAGGAACGGUAAGCCCUUCCCUUCUUUGACUUUCAUUAUUCUAAGACAUUGUUCUAUGCUAUUAGUUUCAUUGCUAGAGAAUUUUAGUGAAUAUGAUAUUGUUAUUUUUCAUAUUUUGGGAAAUUAUUUUUUGGGGGUGAUUCUUCUUUAGGAAAAAUAUACCCUGUGAUUUAGAUUUUUAUUAAGAGUUUGAG
rnacentral:misc_RNA from 1 species